ensembl:lncRNA
UCCGGUUUGAAGCCCCGCCCCCUUUAUGUGGCCCCGCCCACCCAGAGGGGACAGGGGAGGAGCCACAGAGCGAGGCCUUUAUUGGUGACACGAGGUGUGAGUUGACCCCAGGUGACCCCAGGUGACGUGAGGUGACACACGGGGGCGUGACCCUGAGUUGACCCUGAGUGACCCCAAGUGGCACUGGGUGACAUAAGGUGACCUCCGAUGACCCCAAGUGACCCCAGGCACCCCUGGGUGGCACUGGGUGCCAUGAGGUGACCUGGGGUGACACUGGGACUGUCCGAAUCGACACCGGGUGACCCCAGGUGACCCCCAGUGACCCGAGGUGCCCUUGGGUGACCCCAGGUGAUGACCCCCAGUGACCCCAGGUGCCAUGAGGUGACCUGGGGUGACACUGGGACUGCCCCUGAGUUGACCCCGGGUGACCCAAGGUGACCUCCGAUGGCCCCAGGUGACCCCAGGUGACCUCUGACGACCCCAAGCGACUCCAGGUGCCCCUGGGUGACCCCAGGUGAUGACCCCCAGUGACCCCAGGUGCCAUGAGGUGACCUGGGGUGACACUGCGUCUGCCCCUGAGUCGACCCCGGGUGACCCCAGGUGAGCUGGGAUGACCCCAGGUGACCCCAGUGUCACUUGCUGGGCGCCAGCCCGAUGCGGUCGUGGUCGCGAUCGAAGACGACGUAAUUCCGGACCAUGAAAACGUCCCCCAGGAUCCAUAUGGGCCCCGCGGGGGGGGGCACGUCCAGCUCCAUGAACCCACUGACACACGUCGGGGCGCCCGACUGAGACACCUGGGGGGGGGGAUGUGGGGACAGUGGUGGGGGGGCAUAUGGGGG